rnacentral:miRNA from 1 species
GCAGACACAUUCCAGCCAAUCAGCAGCAGACCCUCCCUCCCAGACCCUCCCACCUCCUGGACAGCAUCCAUUUUACUUUCAUUGUGAAGCUGCAUUCUUAGUGAGCUGUCCAGGAGGUGGGAGGGUCUGGGAGGGAGGGUCUGCUGCUGAUUGGCUGGAAUGGGUCUG